rnacentral:rRNA from 1 species
AUACGGAGGGUGCAAGCGUUACUCGGAAUCACUGGGCGUAAAGCGCGCGCAGGCGGCUUGAUAAGUUGGAUGUGAAAGCCUACGGCUCAACCGUAGAACUGCAUCCAAAACUGUCAAGCUAGAGGCUGGGAGGGGAAGAUGGAAUUAGUUGUGUAGGGGUAAAAUCCGUAGAGAUAACUAGGAAUACCAAAAGCGAAGGCGAUCUUCUGGAACAGUACUGACGCUGAGGCGCGAAAGCGUGGGGAGCAAACAGGAUUAGAUACCCCAGUAGUCC